UACGUAGGGUGCAAGCGUUAAUCGGAAUUACUGGGCGUAAAGCGUGCGCAGGCGGUUUUGUAAGUUUGUCGUGAAAUCCCCGGGCUCAACCUGGGAAUUGCGAUGAAGACUGCAAAGCUGGAGUCUGGCAGAGGGGGGUAGAAUUCCACGUGUAGCAGUGAAAUGCGUAGAGAUGUGGAGGAACACCGAUGGCGAAGGCAGCCCCCUGGAUCAAGACUGACGCUCAUGCACGAAAGCGUGGGGAGCAAACAGG
rnacentral:rRNA from 1 species